AAAUUAACGAACUGUACAUCUUCAUCAUCAUAAUUGCAUUUUUAUUUUUUAUAAUCUAUUUUAAGUAUAAUUGAACAAAAUGAAAGCAGUUUAUACUAGGUGGUUAUUAAUUUUUUCCCCCAGAUAUAUAUCAGCCCCCCACACACACACACACACAAACAUGAUCAUAUCAGAAUCACAUUCAGGUUAGCCUACCAUCAGUUGCAGCACAAAUUGCCUCAGUCCAGGUCAGAUGAUCAGUAAUUUCAUUUUCUAAAUUGUAGACAUUGUUUCUAUGAUUAGAUGUCAUUCCUAACAACGAUUUUAAUUAGCACAGGGGGUGCAUUUUAUUGUGGCACGUAAAUUGGAGAAGCCAUCACGUACACAGGACAAAAGUAAUGCUCUGCUUUCCUAUAUAUAUAUAUAUAUACAUAUGUGUAUGUGGAGACGCAAUGGCCCAGUGGUUAGGGCAGCGGACUCGCGGUCAUAGGAUCGCGGUUUCGAUUCCCAAACCGGGCGUUGUGAGUGUUCAUUGA